GCGGGGGUCCAGACCCCUAAGCCAGUGCCGGGAAACACCUGGGAUGUCUGGGCCAGAGGCAUCGCCGGGUCCGGGGCUCUGGGGACUGAUCCAGAAAUAGGAGGCCGCCCCGGGCCCGCUUAAUCUUCCUUUGCAAGAAAGAAACCCUUGGUCAGACUCCUUCGCUCUGCCCUAGCCACGGAGCUUUUGAUACCCGGUGGGAUCUGGUCCCAAUGCACCCCUUUUGGUGACCUCCUUUCCCCAGCUGCCCGCCCGCCGCCAUGCCGCCCCUGUUGCCCCUGCGCCUAUGCCGGCUGUGGCCCCGCAACCCUCCCACCCGGCUCCUCGCAGCGGCCUCCGGGCAGCGGUCUGGCUCCAGUAAUUAUUAUGAACUGUUGGGCGUGCAUCCUGGUGCCAGCGCUGAGGAAGUUAAACGAGCUUUCUUUACCAAGUCCAAAGAGCUGCACCCUGACCGAGAUCCUGGGAACCCGGCCCUGCACAGCCGCUUUGUGGAGCUGAAUGAGGCAUACCGUGUGCUCAGCCGCGAGCAGAGCCGCCGCAGCUAUGACCAUCAGCUCCGUUCAGCUAGCCCCCCAAAGUCUCCAGGGACCACGGCCCAUCCCAAGUCUGCCCGGCAAACACAGAGCAGUUCCUGGGAACCCCCCAACGCACAAUAUUGGGCCCAGUUUCAUGGUGUAAGGACACAGGGCUCCCAUACGAGGCAGCAGCAGUACAAACACAAUCAGCGGGUGCUGGGGUACUGCCUCCUGCUCAUGCUGGCAGGCAUGGGCCUGCACUAUGUUGCCUUCAGGAAGUUGGAGCAGAUACACCGGAGCUUCAUGGAUGAGAAGGAUCGGAUCAUCACAGCUAUCUACAACGACACGCGGGCCAGGGCCAGGGCCAACAGAGCCAGGCUCCAGCAGGAGCGCCGGCAAAGGCAGCAGCAGCAGCAGCAGCCGCCGCUACCCUCUGGGCCUCCGCAAGGUCCAGGGAUCGUGCCUCCUGGCACCGGCCCCUGAGGGGCUCACCUAGAUGGGACCUGUAGUGGACUGUGUUCCCGCCUUGCGGCCUGCCCAGGGCUCCACGACGCGUGCAAUAAAGUGAUUCUUAGAGCUCCGGUCCCGCCGGCUCCUUCAAGUCCAGCGCCCCCGGCCCGGGCCUCGCGCUGGGGCAGCGCCCCGCCCAGUGGGUUCUGGCGGCAGCGACCGGGGAGGCGGGCCCCCUGGGCGGCGCGUCCCCUUUCCCCUGCAGCGGCGGGAGGGGGUGUGUGGAGGGCGGGCCCCGCCGGCGCCGCGCCCCCGCGCCCCCGCCCCUCGGCCCGGUGGGGAGCGCGUGUCUGGGUCACAUGAGCCGCCCGCCCGCUAGCCCGGGCCCGGCCCCCCGCCGCCCCCGACGUGCCCGCCGCCGCCGCCCGCCGCCGCCACCGGCCGCCCGUCCGCCCGGCUCCUCCGGCCGCCGCCGCUGCGCUGCGCUGCGCUGCCUGCGCCCAGGGCUCGGGAGGGGGCCGCGGAGGAGCCGCCCCCCGCGCCCGGCCCCCGCUCGCCGCGCCCGGGCCCGCGCCAUGGGGCUCUGGCUACCGCCGCCCCCCGCGCCGCCGGGCUAGGGCAAUGCGGGCGCCCCCGGCGCGUGGCCCCCGCGGGCACCAUGCGCCCCCUGCUCCGCCGCCUGCUGCUCGCCGCGCUCCUGCAGCUGGCCCCAGCCCAGGCCCCUGUCUCCCAGCCUGAUGCCCCUGGCCACCAGAAGAAAGCCCACAGAGCAUCCCCUUUCUCUGUUUCCUGCCCCUGCCUGCUGUGUCUCCCAUUCUUCUCCUGAGCACAGAUCCUCAUGAUCCGGUACCCAAGCAGUCAGCUGGGGGAGAUGUCCCUGGAAGAACACAGCCAAUGUGAAUGCAG